rnacentral:tmRNA from 1 species
GUCCUUCGGGACUAUGGUCAUAAACGCGCUUGUAAUAAACGGAUCGGACCCGGGGGCGGUACCCGGCAGCUCCACCACAACUCCUUCAUUUGAGGACAGAUGGGGCUGAAAUAGGAUCGACGGACGUCUAAAGAGGUUAGCUUUGGCUCGGUGAGAUACCACCGUUAUCGGUUCAUAAAAGCUAGUUGCAAAUGACAACAAAGCUCCAAUGGCUUUGGCUGCGUAA